AGCUUUAGGAAUAGAUCUAAGGUUAUACCUGCCCAAUGUGUAACUUUAUUAAUGGCCGCGGUACCUUGACCGUGCUAAGGUAGCGCAAUCAAUUGGCUCUUAAUUGGGGUCAGGAAUGAAUGGAGUUACGGAGUUUAACUGUCUCCUAAUUAAUUAUUCUAAAUUACUAUUUAGGUGAAAAAGCCUAAUAAAAGAAAGGGGACGAGAAGACCCUUAGAGUUUGGCCUAUAUAAAUGUUAGAAAUUGUGUUUAUAAUGGUUUAGUUGGGGCAACGUAGGAGCAAUAUAGACAAUCAAAAUCUCCUGAAUUUCAUUAACCGAUAUUUUUAAAUUUGGAUAAACUACCUUAGGGAUAACAGCAUAAUUUAAUAAAUAAGUUUGUGACCUCGAUGUUGGACUAGGAAACUUAAAGGCUAGCCGUCUUUAAGGAAAGUUCUGUUCGAACUAUAAUUCCU
rnacentral:rRNA from 1 species